rnacentral:rRNA from 1 species
AGUGAACGCUGGCGGUAGGCCUAACACAUGCAAGUCGAACGGCAGCACAGUAAGAGCUUGCUCUUACGGGUGGCGAGUGACGGACGGGUGAGGAAUACAUCGGAAUCUACUUUUUCGUGGGGGAUAACGUAGGGAAACUUACGCUAAUACCGCAUACGACCUACGGGUGAAAGCAGGGGAUCUUCGGACCUUGCGCGAUUGAAUGAGCCGAUGUCGGAUUAGCUAGUUGGCGGGGUAAAGGCCCACCAAGGCGACGAUCCGUAGCUGGUCUGAGAGGAUGAUCAGCCACACUGGAACUGAGGCACGGUCCAGACUCCUACGGGAGGCAGCAGUGGGGAAUAUUGGACAAUGGGCGCAAGCCUGAUCCAGCCAUACCGCGUGGGUGAAGAAGGCCUUCGGGUUGUAAAGCCCUUUUGUUGGGAAAGAAAAGCAGCAGGUUAAUACCCCGCUGUUCUGACGGUACCCAAAGAAUAAGCACCGGCUAACUUCGUG